rnacentral:lncRNA from 1 species
ACUGGGCCGGCCCGGACGUCUGCAACUACACGGGCGUCUACUGCGCGCCGCUCCCCUCCACCUCCGGGCGCGGCCGCGGCGCGCUCGCCGUCGCCGGGGUCGACCUCAACCACGGCGACAUCGCGGGGUUCCUCCCGCCCGAGCUCGGCCUCCUCGCCGACCUCGCCCUGCUCCACCUCAACUCCAACCGCUUCUGCGGCGUGCUCCCGACCGCGCUCCGCCGCCUCCGCCUCCUCCACGAGCUCGACCUCAGCAACAACCGCUUCGUCGGCCCGUUCCCGGCCGUCGUGCUCGACCUCCCGGCGCUCCGCUUCCUCGACCUCCGCUUCAACGACUUCGAGGGCGCCGUGCCGGCCCGCCUCUUCGACCGCCCGCUCGACGCCAUCUUCCUCAACCACAACCGCCUCCGCUUCCAGCUCCCCGACAACAUCGGCAACUCGCCGGCGUCCGUCCUCGUCCUCGCGCACAACAGCUUCGGCGGGUGCCUACCGGCGAGCGUCGCCAACAUGUCCGGCACGCUCAACGAGAUCCUGCUCAUCAACAACGGCCUCACCUCCUGCUUCCCGCCGGAGAUCGGCCUGCUGCGGGAGCUCACCGUGCUCGACGUCAGCUUCAACCAGCUCGCCGGCCCGCUGCCGCCGGAGCUCGCGCUCAUGAGGAAGCUGGAGCAGCUGGACGUCGCGCACAACCUGCUCACCGGCGCCAUACCGUCGGGGAUAUGCGACCUGCCGCGCCUCAAGAACUUCACCUUCGCCUACAACUUCUUCACGGGCGAGCCGCCGGCGUGCGCGCGCGUCGUGCCGCGGGACAGCGACCGGAGCAACUGCCUGCCCGACCGCCCCGCGCAGCGGACGCCGCAGCAGUGCGCCGCGUUCUACGCCCGCCCACCUGUUAACUGCGCCGCGUUCCACUGCAAGCCGUUCGUCCCGCCCAUGCCGCCGCCGCGGCUCCCAUCACCUCCCCCGCCGAUGCUCCCAUCGCCACCGCCGCCUCGGCUUCCAUCACCUCCCCCACCGAUGCUCCCACCACCGCCGCCACCGCAGCUGCCGCCCCCGCCUAUGCUCCCACCACCGCCACCGCCUUUGCCACCUCCACCAUCACCACCUCCGCCACUUCCGCCAUCACCACCUCCGCCGUCGCCACCGCUGCCCUCGCCACCGCCACCUCCACUGUUGCCGUCACCACCACCACCAUCACCGCUGCCCUCACCACCGCCACCUCCACUGCUGCCGUCACCACCACCACCAUCACCACGGCCGCGUUCCCCACCUCCACCAUCCUCGCCCCCUCCGGCACCAGUCUACCACCCACCACCACAGUGCCCGCCAUGCCCCGUUCUGCC